CAGUAGCCACGGUAAUACGGAGGAUCCAAGCGUUAUCCGGAUUUAUUGGGUUUAAAGGGUGCGUAGGUGGCCUGUUAAGUCAGGGGUGAAAGACGGUAGCUUAACUAUCGCAGUGCCCUUGAUACUGAUGGGCUUGAAUGAACUAGAGGUAGGCGGAAUGUGACAAGUAGCGGUGAAAUGCAUAGAUAUGUCACAGAACACCGAUUGCGAAGGCAGCUUACUAUGGUUUGAUUGACGCUGAGGCACGGAAGCGUGGGGAUCAAACAGGAUUAGAUACCCCCGUAGUCCCUGUCUCUUAUAC
rnacentral:rRNA from 1 species